GACCUGGUGGUGCAAUGGUAACAUACGCCCCACAAGUAUGUGGGUUUGGUAAACUUAUCGGGGCAGGGUCCCUGUUCAAUUCAGGGCCAGGUCA